rnacentral:rRNA from 1 species
AAUAUUGGACAAUGGGGGCAACCCUGAUCCAGCCAUGCCGCGUGUGUGAAGAAGGUCUUCGGAUUGUAAAGCACUGUAAGUUGGGAGGAAGGGCUUUAGGCUAAUACCCUGAAGUUUUGACGUUCCCAAAAGAAUAAGCAUCGGCUAACGCUGUGCCAGCAGCUGCGGUAAUACAGAGGGUGCAAGCGUUAAUCGGAUUUACUGGGCAUAAAGCGCGCGUAGGUGGUUCAGUAAGAUGGGUGUGAAAUCCCCGGGCUUAACCUGGGAACUGCUUUCAUAACUGCUGAGCUAGAGUACGGUAGAGGGUAGUGUAAUUUCCUGUGUAGCGGUGAAAUGCGUAGAUAUAGGAAGGAACACCAGUGGCGAAGGCGACUACCUGGACUGAUACUGACACUGAGGUGCGAAAGCGUGGGGAGCAAACA